AGUGAACGCUGGCGGUAGGCCUAACACAUGCAAGUCGAACGGCAGCACAGUAAGAGCUUGCUCUUACGGGUGGCGAGUGGCGGACGGGUGAGGAAUACAUCGGAAUCUACUUUUUCGUGGGGGAUCACGUAGGGAAACUUACGCUAAUACCGCAUACGACCUACGGGUGAAAGCAGGGGAUCUUCUGACCUUGCGCGAUUGAAUUAGCCGCGGUCGGAUUAGCUAGUUGGCGGGGUAAAGGCCCACCAAGGCGACGAUCCGUAGCUGGUCUGAGAGGAUGAUCAGCCACACUGGAACUGAAACACGGUCCAGACUCCUACGGGAGGCAGCAGUGGGGAAUAUUGGACAAAGGGCGCAAGCAUGAUCCAGCCAUACCGCGUGGGUGAAGAAGGCCUUCGGGUUGUAAAGCCCUUUUGUUGGGAAAGAAAAGCAGCAGGUUAAUACCCCGCUGUUCUGACGGUACCCAAAGAAUAAGCACCGGCUAACUUCGUG
rnacentral:rRNA from 1 species